rnacentral:rRNA from 1 species
GACGAACGCUGGCGGCGUGCUUAACUCAUGCAAGUCGAACGGAAAGGCCCUGCUUUUGUGGGGUGCUCGAGUGGCGAACGGGUGAGUAACACGUGAGUAACCUGCCCUUGACUUUGGGAUAACUUCAGGAAACUGGGGCUAAUACCGGAUAGGAGCUCCUGCUUCAUGGUGGGGGUUGGAAAGUUUCGGCGGUUGGGGAUGGACUCGCGGCUUAUCAGCUUGUUGGUGGGGUAGUGGCUUACCAAGGCUUUGACGGGUAGCCGGCCUGAGAGGGUGACCGGCCACAGUGGGACUGAGAUACGGCCCAGACUCCUACGGGAGGCAGAAGUGGGGAAUAUUGCACAAUGGGCGGAAGCCUGAUGCAGCAACGCCGCGUGCGGGAUGACGGCCUUCGGGUUGUAAACCGCUUUCGCCUGUGACGAAGCGUGAGUGACGGUAAUGGGUAAAGAAGCACCGGCUAACUACGUG